ACGGCGAUGAACAACCUGAACGCUAACGGAUUAGCUUGCUAAUCGCUGACGAGUGGCGGACGGGUGAGUAAUGCCUGGGAAUUUGCCUUUGCGAGGGGGAUAACCAUUGGAAACGAUGGCUAAUACCGCAUAAUGCCUACGGGCCAAAGGGGGGACUUGUCCUCUCGCGCAUUGAGAAGCCCAGGUGAGAUUAGCUAGUUGGUGAGGUAAAGGCUCACCAAGGCGACGAUCUCUAGCUGUUCUGAGAGGAAGAUCAGCCACACUGGAACUGAGACACGGUCCAGACUCCUACGGGAGGCAGCAGUGGGGAAUAUUGCACAAUGGGGGAAACCCUGAUGCAGCCAUGCCGCGUGUGUGAAGAAGGCCUUCGGGUUGUAAAGCACUUUCAGUUGUGAGGAAAGGAUAGUAGUUAAUACCUGCUAUCUGUGACGUUAACAACAGAAGAAGCACCGGCUAACUCCGUGCCAGCAGCCGCGGUAAUACGGAGGGUGCGAGCGUUAAUCGGAAUUACUGGGCGUAAAGCGCACGCAGGCGGUUUGUUAAGCUAGAUGUGAAAGCCCCGCGCUCAACGUGGGAUGGUCAUUUAGAACUGGCAGGCUAGAGUCUUGGAGAGGGGAGUGGAAUUUCUGGUGUAGCGGUGAAAUGCGUAGAUAUCAGAAGGAACAUCAGUGGCGAAGGCGACUCCCUGGCCAAAGACUGACGCUCAUGUGCGAAAGUGUGGGUAGCGAACAGGAUUAGAUACCCUGGUAGUCCACACCGUAAACGCUGUCUACUAACUGUGUGUGAAUUUAAUUCGUGCGUAGUGAAGCUAACGCGCUAAGUAGACCGCCUGGGGAGUACGGCCGCAAGGUUAAAACUCAAAUGAAUUGACGGGGGCCCGCACAAGCGGUGGAGCAUGUGGUUUAAUUCGAUGCAACGCGAAGAACCUUACCUACUCUUGACAUACUGAGAACUUUCCAGAGAUGGAUUGGUGCCUUCGGGAACUCAGAUACAGGUGCUGCAUGGCUGUCGUCAGCUCGUGUCGUGAGAUGUUGGGUUAAGUCCCGCAACGAGCGCAACCCUUGUCCUUAUUUGCCAUCAUUAAGUUGGGCACUCUAAGGAGACUGC
rnacentral:rRNA from 1 species